CCUACGGGAGGCAGCAGUGAGGAAUAUUGGUCAAUGGGCGCAAGCCUGAACCAGCCAUCCCGCGUGCAGGAAGAAGGCGCUAUGCGUUGUAAACUGCUUUUGUAGGGGAAGAAUGUUGGCUACGCGUAGUCAAUUGCCGGUACCUUGUGAAUAAGCACCGGCUAACUACGUGCCAGCAGCCGCGGUAAU
rnacentral:rRNA from 1 species